rnacentral:piRNA from 1 species
AUGAAGCAGACGCUCGCUAAGCAGGA